ACUCGCGGACCAAAGAGGUGAAAAAACAAAACAAAGAAACAAGUAGUCGAGGCGUUCGUGGAAACAGGAAGCAAACGGGGAAAGCCUAGAAGCCUGUUGGUGUAAAAUAAAAAAUAAGAGGGGAGCACUCUGUCUUUUCCCUCCCAGCUGUUUUGAGCUCUUUAAACUAACAGUGCAACCGCGGACUUUUAGUCCGUUGCUUGGACACCGCUGUAGGAGGAAAGCUCGCGCGCUUCGCGGACCAACGACUACUUGAUCAGGGUUCUCGGUUUAUUUGCCCUCCCUCACCGUCCACCACACUGGAAUUAAUCCCACCUUACUGUCACCGUAUUAUUUUAAAGACAGGACGUACCAUUCCACCCUUUAAUCACGACCCUGGUCGUUUUACUGGAGUAUUUUGUCGUUUGAAGAAGUCUUCAGUCCGUCUGACAGGAACGGUGCAAGCGCAGCUAACGCGAGCUAGCGACUUAGCUGCUAAUGUCAACUAACAUGGAGGGAGAGGUGCAUGUGUUACAUAACAACCCAACGCAAUUAAACCACCGACUUUUGACACCCUGCAAGCACAGUUAUGGACGUGAAUUAAUCUCCAAAGAAUAAAACGGCCCAUAAACGCAUUUAUUUGGCAGAGAUGGAGUCGAACCCGCUGAUCAGCGCAAUGGAUCCAUCCAUUACAUUGUGGCAGUUCCUGCUAAACCUGCUAGAUGAUGAGAGUCAGAAGCAUUUGAUCUCCUGGACAUCUGGGCAUGGUGAGUUUAAACUGCUGGAUGCCGAGGAGGUGGCCAGACUCUGGGGGCUGCGCAAGAACAAAACCAACAUGAACUAUGAUAAACUGAGCAGGGCACUACGUUACUACUAUGACAAGAAUAUUAUCAAGAAAGUUAACGGCCAGAAGUUUGUCUACAAGUUUGUGACCUUUCCGCAUCUUAACUCUGCUGAUGGGCUCAAAGGGCCUGAGGAUUCCCAGAGGGCCACUACAGGGGAGAAUUUGGAGCUGUCCAUUCAGACCAAAUCUAACACAGGUGCUAACACCACCAACCCGAGUCUCUCCAAGAGCCUGCAGGUUCAGCACUCCUCUCCUAAUUCAGUGCAACGCAGCUCCCGCAAUGACUACAUGAAGUCUGGUCUCUACUCCACUUUCACUAUCCAGUCCCUGCAGACGCCCUGCAAAACCACAUCCAAAUUCAUCAAAACAGAGGACAUCCUGAGUGAUUGCAGCUCCAAACCUGCCCCUCUGGACCACAUAGUCCAUGAGAUGCGAAUGUGUCAGACAGAAGGACAGCAGGAAACUGUUCAGGCCCAGUUGGCUGUGGAGAGCUGCAGUCUGCAGGUGAUAGUUACCCACCCGUCCCCAUGUGCUACUCCCGCCCUCAGCCCACAGACACCCUCUGGCUCUGUAACAGCAACCACGAAUAGUCAAGCACAGAAGAGCCAGAAUUUGGGUGACCCACCCCAGAUCUACCUGUCUGAUCCCAGCUCUCUGACCUCGCUCAUUCCUCUAACUCAUGGAGAAUGUGUAGUCAAACCCCGUCAGUCUGUGUUUGUGGUCUUAAAGCCUUCGCCAGUCGGGCUGUCCAAAGAGUCCAGUCUCCCGCCUGAAGACGACUUGCUGGAGAUUGUCCAAUUGGAUGACAAAACAGAUCUUGAGCCAGUGUCCACAGUGCCUGUCCUUGGAGUUACAGAUGCCCCUAUCCCUGUGGAUGCUCUGUCACCCUGUGUGGAGCCAGAGGCCCAGCCAGUUGGAGAAGGGGAAGUGAAAGAGAAGCCUGAGCUACCCGAGGACACCAAUACUGCAUCAGCCUCCCUCCCGGUAAGCACUCAAGAAGGACAGCCUCCUAAAUCAAAGAAGCCCCGUGUGCUGGAACUGCCAUCUUCGUCUACGCUGCUGCCCCCUGGACUCUCACUGGAUAAGGUCAAUGCAGCGGUGAACAGCCUGCUGGCCCCUGGCAGUGCCACAAACACCUUAACACCCACAGUCAUCACCUCCCAUGCCCUGACUCCAGUGCUGUUGACACCGAGUCCGCUGCCAUCAACCAUUCACUUCUGGAGCACGCUCAGUCCAAUCGCUCCACGCAGCCCUGCCAAGCUCUCCUUCCAGUUCCCCACCAAUGGAAGCAAUCAGAUCCAGAUCCCAGCACUGAGCGUGGAUGGCCUAUCCACACCUGUCGUUCUCUCCCCUGGACCACAGAAACCAUAACUUGCGAUUUAAUUCCCUUAUCUCCUUCCAUGGUGAUUGGCUCCCUCCCCACCCAAUGAAAGAUGGGACACUCCAUAUCAAGUUCUGCUGAGUCAAUUUUGCUAAAGUGGCAUUGAAAAUCCCAGAGGAAUGUAACGGCCAUUCCCAGGAUUGAGGAGGUGAAACCAGGGAGGAAAAGAUACAAAGAGAUUCUGAAUGAUAUCAAGAUCUGGAAUGUAUCAAUCUUUUUCUUCUAUUGCAUCAUUCCUUUGUUUCAGAACUUUCUUCUUGUAAAUAUACGUUGCACCCAUUCCAAGAUUUGAAAGAUUUAAUUUUAUACUCUUGCUUUUCUGUUUUUGUUGUUGUUUUUAGUCAUUCUAUCAAGGAGCCCUUUCUCUGGCAGCACUGACAAUGCAGGUGAAGGUUUCAGAAGUGUCGCAGCGAAGCUUUGCAGUUUCAUGCUUUUUUUUUUCUUCAAAAGAAAACGCCAGAGGAGACCAAAGACCAGCUGUUUAUAUACAAUCCAUCUUAGCAUCUCUAUCCUUUUUUUCUCUUAUGUUUUACAUUUUCUCUCGCUCUCAUCUUUUUAUUUUUACUCUGCCGCAUCAAAGGGCUAUAAGAACUUUCACGCAACCAAUACCCUCUCAGUUCUGACAAUGUAUAUAAGUGAUACAUCUGACUCGCCAGCUAUAAGUGUAAAACACAUUAAUCCUUGUAAAUAAAGUAAUUUAUGGCAGAACAGGAAGUACGUAACUUCAGCUGCUUUCGAUAUCAUUAGUUGUUUUGUGCGGCCUGCCUCUUAUGCUAUGUUCGUCUGAUGUGAUAAAAUCACACUCACGGUUGUUACCUCAAAGCUGUUAACAGCUCGACGUGUCAAAGCAGGCACGCAAAUACGUUGCAACUGUCAAACAAAAUCAGCGAUUAUUUGCAUGUCUUGUAGUUUGUGUAUGAAGCUCGGAAGUUUCCUGUGGGGGAAUCAUGGUGGUUAUAUAUAGUGUUCUAAAGAAAGCUGUACUGUAGUUUCAGUAACUGCCUCCACCACAUACAGCCUUUACUGUAUUGCCAUUUCUACCAUUUAAUUUGACCUGAGAGUGCUGAACUCACCUUAUUUUCAAUACGGUCAAACAUUUAAUCGUCAGUGUCUUUCACUUUAGAACAUUUUGGCUCUUUAAGUUGGUGCUUUUUGUUGUUUUAAAUAGUUUUCUGGUUUGAUAUCUGCGUGAUUGUAAUGAACUAGGGUGGAUUUGCUGGUAGCAUGCUGCAGUUGCUUACGCUUGUCACCUCUGCGAGUGUUCUCUCCUGCAUUUUGGGCACUUCAUGGCUGAUCUGUUACAUGAACAAAUGCGAAGAGUGAAUGACUGUUUGUUUUAAGAUGAAGCACUUGAGAAAAGUCCUGAAGAUCAGUAAAUGUUCACCACAGCUCUUGGUGUCACUUUUAUAUGUACCGAUGAUGUCAUGGACGCCCACAAGUCGACACAUUGAAUGUUCUGUUCGGGGUGCAUUUUGAGAGUCAUACCCCUCACAUUACCACGUGCUAAACUCAGUGAACUGAUAUCAGCUUAACCAUGAUCAAAUUCCCACAAAACAAAUUGAUUUUCAUUGGUGAGUUACUUGUGGUUCUUUUUACAUGUGGUGGAAAAAAAUAAUAAGCCUGCAAUAUCGAAUAACUCACUGUGAUGAUGAAUUUAGUGAUUUGUGAGUAAUACUUUUCCCGAUCUUGAUCUUUAAUGCAGUGUGGUAAGUCUGCAGUACUGCUUUCAGCCGUCUUGUCACUUUCCUAAGCUUGUCUGGAUUGCUGGGAUUGUUUGUGCCUCUGAAUGUCUAUGCUCUGUAAUGCACUGCGAAUGUGUUUUAACAGCUGAUGUCUUUGAGCUAUACUCCUCCUAUUUCCCUUGCUCUGAUGCUGCUGUUACUUUUACUGUACAUCAGCACUGAUCAAUAUACAGUAGUGACAGCAUACUGUGCCUGGUUCCCACCGAAAUGAACUACUAGAUAAUGC